UCAAGUAAUUAAGUGCAUGUGGUGGAUGCCUUGGCAGUCAGAGGCGAUGAAAGACGUAAUAGCCUGCGAUAAGCUCCGGGGAGGCGGCAAAUAUCCUUUGAUCCGGAGAUUUCUGAAUGGGGGAACCCACCUACUUUAAGGUAGGUAUUGCAACAUGAAUACAUAGUGUUGCAAGGCGAACGAGGGGAAGUGAAACAUCUCAGUACCCUUAGGAAAAGAAAUCAAUUGAGAUUCCCUUAGUAGCGGCGAGCGAACGGGGAUCAGCCCAUUAAGUUAUGUGUGUUUUAGUGGAACGCUCUGGGAAGUGCGAACGUAGAGGGUGAUAUUCCCGUACACGAAAGGGCACACAUAAUGAUGACGAGUAGGGCGAGGCACGUGAAACCUUGUCUGAAUAUGGGGGGACCAUCCUCCAAGGCUAAAUACUCCUGACUGACCGAUAGUGAACCAGUACCGUGAGGGAAAGGCGAAAAGAACCCCUGUGAGGGGAGUGAAAUAGAUCCUGAAACCGCAUGCAUACAAGCAGUGGGAGCCGACUUGUUCGGUGACUGCGUACCUUUUGUAUAAUGGGUCAGCGACUUAUAUUCAGUAGCGAGGUUAACCGUAUAGGGGAGCCGUAGAGAAAUCGAGUCUUAAUAGGGCGUUUAGUUGCUGGGUAUAGACCCGAAACCAGGCGAUCUAUCCAUGAGCAGGUUGAAGGUUGGGUAACACUAACUGGAGGACCGAACCCACUGUCGUUGAAAAGCCAGGGGAUGACUUGUGGAUAGGGGUGAAAGGCUAAUCAAGCCUGGUGAUAGCUGGUUCUCCCCGAAAGCUAUUUAGGUAGCGCCUCGGACGAAUACCAUAGGGGGUAGAGCACUGUUUCGGCUAGGGGGUCAUCCCGACUUACCAAACCGAUGCAAACUCCGAAUACCUAUGAGUACUAUCCGGGAGACAGACUGCGGGUGCUAACGUCCGUAGUCAAGAGGAAAACAAUCCAGACCGCCAGCUAAGGCCCCAAAAUCAUAGUUAAGUGGGAAACGAUGUGGGAAGGCAUAGACAGCUAGGAGGUUGGCUUAGAAGCAGCCACCCUUUAAAGAAAGCGUAAUAGCUCACUAGUCGAGUCGGCCUGCGCGGAAGAUGUAACGGGGCUAAAACUAUGUGCCGAAGCUGCGGAUUUGACUUUUAAGUCAAGUGGUAGGGGAGCGUUCUGUAAGCCGAUGAAGGUGUAUUGAGAAGUAUGCUGGAGGUAUCAGAAGUGCGAAUGCUGACGUGAGUAACGACAAAACGGGUGAAAAACCCGUUCGCCGAAAGACCAAGGGUUCCAGUCCAACGUUAAUCGGGGCUGGGUGAGUCGACCCCUAAGGCGAGGCCGAAAGGCGUAGUCGAUGGGAAAUUGGUUAAUAUUCCAAUACUUCUGUGUAAUGCGAUGAGAGGACGGAGAAGGUUAAG
rnacentral:rRNA from 1 species